rnacentral:snRNA from 1 species
GGAUGUGAGGGCGACCUGGCUGCAACAUCUGUCACCCCAUUGAGCGCAAACGUUGAUCCGGCUGGUCUGGCUGGCUCGGCGGGUAUCUCUUUCCUCCCUUGCCACUCCGUGUGCGUCCCUCCUGAAACUGCAUGCUCAGAGGGUGGCCUUCCCUGAAGAGAGAUGGGCCUCUUUGGUCAUGGGCAUGAGCAGCUGUGCUGCCCUGCUAGAACCUCCAGACGAGCUCUCAAGGUCCAUUUGUAGAACAUAGGAUCAUGCAGCUUCCAGGACUCCAGACACAUCCAAAGGAGGCUGCAUGUGGCAGCGUGCCUUU